rnacentral:sRNA from 2 species
UUUAUUAGAUCGCCUAAUUACUUGUCCUGUUGUUUUCACAAACAGUGCAAACAAGAAGCGGGGGACCCAAAUCUUUGGGGUGAAUCCACUAGAGAUUCAGUGCUCAUGCGAGUACGAGAAUCUCGAAGGUAGGGCUAUUUUUCAGCCCGAAUCCGACAGCUAACCUCGUAGGCGUGGAAAGAAAGUGUUU